CCGUGCCUGGACCCAGUGGGUAUGCAGAGCCCCUCCCCACCUUAGAGCUGUGGAAUAAUCAUAGUGUCCCUUGAGAGAGAGCCAGCAUUUCUCCAGCAGCAGGAGACCUGCAGACAUGGCAGUAGGACAUGGAGCCGCCAACCUGCCACUUCUUCUGGAGCCAUUCACUUGGGUUUUUGCAGCAGGGCAGUGCAAAAACAGAGCAGGAACCAGAAGGUACAUUAUAUCUACAGGAGACACCAAGCUCACAGAGGAAGAGGAUGUGCUGUUACCCACUUCUGCAUUCCCUAAAAUGCCCAGCCCCGUGCCUUGAGAAACUUCACUGACUUGAAUGGUUAGGGCUGGGGUGAAGCCAAGGUAAUGACAGUGCUCUCUUUGGAACAAGUGUCUUCUAGAAAUAUGAAAAUGAACUCUGCAGAGAGGAGAAAAGUGGGCACCGAUGAUCUAGAACGAUGGUGAAUGUCAGGAAACCUGAGAGAUGUAAAGAUUGUCCAACCAGCUGCUGCUGCUGCUGCUGCUGCUGCUACUGCAAGAAAGGAAUCUGAAGAGCUAUCUUUUGUGGAAUCAAAAAGGAACAGUAGGGAUACUUUUGGAUUUUUUUCUUAGAUCUAAAACUUUAGGCUACAUUGUCACUUAUAACAGUUAUAAUUCACCUUAGCUCAUGAAAUUAACCCAAGAAGACUGAAAAUGAGUCCCUGAAUACAUACAAAUUCAACCCUGUAAACUAUAAGGUACUUUCUGGGCCUCAUUUCUUUUAGGACAUGCCCCAGGAUGAAGAGUAACCUCAAUGGCUGAAACAUGCAAUAUCAUUAACCAUGUGAUGAUGGAUACAAUGCCCAACUACUUUGCCUUCAAAAAUCUCUCUAUUGUUUUUGACAUCAAACUUUGAAUCAGGUUUAAGUCAUGUUCAGUAUUGCAAUAUUUCAUACCUGGGACUGGAGAUUGAAUAAUAUGCCACUGGGUUGAAAGGUCUGAAACCCAAAGGACGCCUGGAAUUCACUGGGCAAAGGGAGAUCCAAACCGGUGAACCUCAACUGUCCAUCCCUGGAGAAUGAGGCAGAUCGCACGAGCUAAAAUGCAAACAAGGAAUAAAUUACUGGCAUUGAAAUCAUCUGAUGGCUGAAAUCCAGUAUCUUCUCUUGGAUCACUUCACCUGAGCUGGUUAAUGUGUUUUACAUUGGCUCAGGAAGAAGCACAGUGUGCUUUUUCUGCAUGAUAAUUUACCAGUCACCUGAGUUUUUGUAUGUAGAGUUGGUAUUCCUUUUUUUCCUACAAAUAUGCAAACCUGAAGAGGUUCUGUGUCUUGCAAAAAGGUGAGAAGUAGAAAUAACCAGUUCACUCUAAUACCAAGUGCUACCAGAAAAACUCAAAAGUUGAUUUGUAAAUGAAUACCAAAGUACCAAAGACAGGUUGGUUGGGGAGCCGUACUUCUCUGCAAGGCUUUGAAUUCUUACCUUCCAGUCCUCUGAGCAUUUUUUUGUGACUCCCACAGUGUCAUUCAGCCUCACAACACCGGUAGUUUUCUUCAGAUUUUUCAUGCAGCCUCGGAAAGCCGGUGUAGAAAUGUUAAAUCUGAUUUGGGGCACAAAAUAGGAAGAGGUGAAUCAGACCAGCCUUGGCUAAGAACCGGACCUGAAACUCUCUUCACUGUUACUUUUCACCCAUAAACCAGUCCAAGCUAGAAGCCACCUUCCCAAUGCCCCAACUGGAUUAAAUUCUCUCCAUGGGCCACACUCUGUGAUCUCCCUUCGGCUAUGUUCAUUGUUGUGUUCCCAACACCUCUCACACUGCCUGAUGUCACUGGA